CAGCCGCCGCGGUAAUACGUAGGGGGCGAGCGUUGUCCGGAAUUAUUGGGCGUAAAGCGCGCGCAGGCGGUCCCUUAAGUCUGAUGUGAAAGCCCACGGCUCAACCGUGGAGGGUCAUUGGAAACUGGGGGACUUGAGUGCAGAAGAGGAGAGCGGAAUUCCACGUGUAGCGGUGAAAUGCGUAGAGAUGUGGAGGAACACCAGUGGCGAAGGCGGCUCUCUGGUCUGUAACUGACGCUGAGGCGCGAAAGCGUGGGGAGCAAACAGGAUUAGAUACCCUGGUAGUCCACGCCGUAAACGAUGAGUGCUAAGUGUUAGAGGGGUUAAACCCUUUAGUGCUGUAGCUAACGCGUUAAGCACACCGCCUGGGGAGUACGGCCGCAAGGCUGAAACUUAAAGGAAUUGGCGGG
rnacentral:rRNA from 1 species